rnacentral:lncRNA from 1 species
UCUGACGUCAGAGAACAUCUCUGACGAUGACUAGAACAUUCUAUGAAUAUUCAUUAGUAUUAUUAUUGUGUUAUGAGUAAAGAGAUGUACACGUGAGAAAUUAGAGAAUAAAAUACGUAUUAAUUACAUAAGAUUACGUUAUAUUAUUUAAUUGGUCUUAUGGUAAUCCCAUAGCUCUUAUAGAGUAUUGGAAGGAAGUAGGGGUGAGUUCUCUCGGAGUCCAUCCGUUGACUAAAGGAUGAGACCGGAGAAGAUCAUUUUUAUUUAUGAAUUCUUUGCAUGGGAUUCGUAGUUUGCCAAUUCGUAUUAGCGUUUUUCUUCUUGUACAUCAAUAAACACGGAUAAGACUGAAUUCAAUGCCUCAUUGGAGUAUUUUUACAUGGAGUUUACAGUCUAUAAUCAUGAUCCUUAUUCAAACUUAAUUAUUUGUUACCUAAUAAUAAGUCUUAAUAUUAUAUUACAUUAAUUAUCAUUUGAUUUUGUUAUGAUUUUAUCGAUCAUAAUUGUUGGAAUAAGUUACAUGUAGGAUUAUACAAUCAUAGGAGUUUUACUCUAUAUUUUUAUACCUAACGACUAUACAAUGAUAGUAAAUAAGCAAUAACUAAGAAAUAAACACGUCUAUUAUUGAUAAUGUAAUUUAAAUUAAGUCACUUAUUUAAGAGAUAUGAACAAACCAAUUUUUAUCCUAUUGACGCUUAGUUUACUGUCCAUAAUUAUGCCCCCUGUUCAAGUUUUAUUGUUUGUUUGUAACCUAUAUGAUGAUGUGAUUACUGGUACCCUGGGUGUACCAGCUUUUUAAAGUAACGAUACACUUUGCUACUUUUUCGGAGAAGAAAAAUAAAUAAUACUACGCCCAACAUAUGAUAUAAUGACAGCAGAAUUAGGAGUAUUUUUUUGGAAGGCCGUUAGAAAAUAUCAUUAUCAUAUGUAACCAUGCAUUUUCGUUAUAAGUUGAACUGUGGCUGAGAUUUUUAUAAUUAAAUUUUAUAGCUCUAAGAAAUGCAUAUCAGCAAAGCAUAUUUAAUUUGUAUUGUAACCCUGUUUUAUCAAGAGUAUUUAUAUUUUUUUUAAUCAAGCUCAAGAAAUGCCUUAAGUUAUUUAUGCAAAAAUCAAAGUCAUUUUUCUAUGAUUAAUAAGUUAAUUAUUUCAUGUAAUAAAGUUAAUACAUUUAGAAGUUAUUAUAAUUAUGUUAGACUAAUAAGUAUUAGUCCAACAUACUAAUGUGAAUCAAGUUACCUACACAUUACUGGGAGGACGGAAAAAUCUCGGACGCAAUUUGGAAAUGGUGUGCUGCUCAAAGGCUAAAAGCCACAGGAUAAGUAGGAAUGGGAAUGGUAAAAUAGAGUGCGAGGGGAAGACUUGUGUUGUGAUACUAUUGUAUCGAUCGUUUGCAGUGAUUUGUUAUUUAUCAAGUUGAUAUUGUGUGUGUGUAUAAAAGUAUUUAUGUAUGUAACGAUUUGUUAGAUGUAUCUUACUUUUUGUAGAAUUCAGUCGAAUAAAGCCACAUUCUAGGUUA